AACUAAACUUUAAACCCCUUAACGAGUAACCAUCAGAGGCAAGUCUGGUGCCAGCACGCCGGCGGUUAAUUCCAGCUCUGAUAGCGUAUAUUAAGUUGUUGCUAAGUUAAAAGCUCGUAGUUGGUAUUUUAGGAUAUAUUGAUAUGGUCUCUUGUGGUGAACUUGUUGUACUGUAUCGAUUGUCCUUUCCUACUGGUUACUCGACUCUGUUCUUUAUUGCAUGGAGUAGUGUCGCAAGGCAUCGCUUAGUAUUUUAUUGCUUUUAGAUGUAGUAAUUGGGUAAAACUGGUUAUGAAACCUAAGGGAUCACAGUAAAGUAUUAAGUGGGGUUCCAGUUCAUUUACUUUGAGUAAAUUAGAGUGUUCAAAGCAGCCUGUAUGGGCAUUGAAUAGAUUAGCAUGGGAUAAUAGAAUAGGAUUCUUACCUAUUUAUUGGUUUAUAGGUUUAGAAUAAUGAUUAAUAGGGAUAGUUGGGGC
rnacentral:rRNA from 1 species